rnacentral:misc_RNA from 1 species
CGAUCCUACCAAACCCUGGUACGCUAUUGGCAUCGAUAUCGAAAAAUGUAUUGGGUGUGGAAUGUGUGCCAAAUCUUGCAAACUGGAAAAUAAUGUUCCGAAAGAACCAUUUUAUUACCGCUCCUGGGUUGAACAAUAUACCAUAAAAAAUGAUGGAACAAUGAAUGUUGAAUCGCCAAAUGGAGGAAUCGACGGUUUUACCCAAACUAUUCCCGAAGAAGAAAUAUUCAAAACAUUUUUUGUUCCGAAAAUGUGUAAUCAUUGCUACAAGUCACCUUGCGUACAAGUUUGUCCGGUUGGCGCCACUUUUGUUAGUCCGGAAGGUAUAGUUCUUGUUGACAAGGAAUAUUGUAUCGGUUGUCGCUAUUGUAUUCAGGCAUGUCCUUAUGGUUGCCGCUAUCUUAAUCCUGCAACAGAGACUGCUGAUAAAUGCACCUUGUGUUACCACCGUAUAAAAAAGGGAUUAAACCCGGCUUGUUU